rnacentral:lncRNA from 1 species
UCAAUGCGAUCUUCGGGACUAAAAGGAUGGCGGAUGAGUGGAGGUGAAGUACAGUGGUGCCCUUGUACAAGAACAAAGGGGACAUCCAGUGCUGCAACAACUACAGGGGUAUCAAUUAAUAAGUCACACCAUGAAGGUCUGGGAGCGGGUGAUCGAGGCGAGGGUGAGGGAGAUGACAUCUAUAUCUGUGAACCAGUUCGGUUUCAUGCCGCAUCCAGUGCUGCAACAACUAUAGGUGUAUCAAAUUAAUAAGUCACACCAUGAAGGUCUGGGAGAGGGUGAUCGAGGCGAGGGUGAGGGAUGUGACAUCUAUAUCUAUGAACCAGUUCGAUUUCAUGCCGGGUCGCUCCACUACAGAAGCUAUCCACAUUGUCAGGCGGCUGAUGGAGCAGUUCAGGGAUAAGAAGAAGGACCUGCACAUGGUGCUUAUCGACUUGGAGAAGGCGUAUGACAAGGUCUCAAUGGAGGUGCUAUGGAGGUGCUUGGAGGCGAAGAGCGUGCCGGAAGCCUACAUCAGAGUAAUCAAGGACAUGUACGAUAGAG